GCAGCGGGACGACCCGCUUGCCGUGUCCGGCGGCGUCCAGGACGGCCUGG
rfam:Streptomyces sp. IB2014 011-1 STIB_1, whole genome shotgun sequence.